rnacentral:tRNA from 1 species
GGGGCAGUAGCUCAGCUGGGAGAGCACCUGGUUUGCAACCAGGGGGUCGGCGGUUCAAACCCGCUCUGCUCCACCA